rnacentral:pre_miRNA from 1 species
GGAAUAUAAGAAUCCGUCUCUUAACUUUUAACUAAAAAAACUAAGAACCGAUUCUUAAUUUUUUUAGUUAAAAAUUAAGAGACGGGUUCUUAUAUUCC